GCUUAUCCUCAUAAAACCAGUUCAGCUACUUUUAACAUUUACCACUCACCGAUUUCUUGUAUGAAAGUGGAACAAAUUAAAUCAUUUCCCUCGUCGCGUGAAGGUUCUGUGCUGCUAUCUACAUGUUACCGAGUGAACCGAACAUGCAUAUCCCUUCGCUCAGAUCUCUGGAAUACACUGCAUGUGGUACUGUGUAGCAGUUCCUAUUCGAAGCGCGCUGUUUGAAUCAACUUCGUAACAAAUUUGGAAGGUCAUUGUACCAGCUCAUAUAUUCAGAGUAAAUUGAGCCACAUAUCAGGAUCUGGAAGAACAUCAAGAGAUUCUAGACAAUGAAAAUUCUCAAAAGACCCAGGGAGCAGGUCCUCAGAGGAGAAAAAGCAGAGAAGAGUAGUGUGUUCUUGGCAUUUUACAAUGCUCUGUAAAUUCACUUUACAGAAUAAACCAA